AUGAGGCCGUGCCCGAGGAAGCUCUGUGUCGUCCGCCCCGCGAGGCUUGGCCCCUCGCGAGGGUCUUGGGUCUGUGUUGAUGAAGAUGGGCCGUGCUGGGCCCCCUUUGAGCCAUGCCGCAGGCCACAGGCAGGCAAGUCUGGGGACCCCCGUUUCCAGAACACCGACAAUCUGGGGUUACUCAGCUCCUUCUGUCGGUUCACAAAAACACAUAUCUUGCUUUCAUCCAACUUGUUGCAAGAAGUUGUUCCUUUUGUAAGGUUGCCUAGGAAAAGCUAUUUGUCUCUGAAUGCUAGCAGCAUCAGGCUGCACCACCCGGCGAUGGAGUCGAACAAGCAAAAGUAG
rnacentral:rRNA from 1 species